rnacentral:rRNA from 1 species
GGGAUUGUGGCUGCAGGCUACACAUGCAAGUCGAGCGGAUGAGAAGAGCUUGCUCUUCGAUUCAGCGGCGGACGGGUGAGUAAUGCCUAGGAAUCUGCCUGGUAGUGGGGGACAACGUUUCGAAAGGAACGCUAAUACCGCAUACGUCCUACGGGAGAAAGCAGGGGACCUUCGGGCCUUGCGCUAUCAGAUGAGCCUAGGUCGGAUUAGCUAGUUGGUGGGGUAAUGGCUCACCAAGGCGACGAUCCGUAACUGGUCUGAGAGGAUGAUCAGUCACACUGGAACUGAGACACGGUCCAGACUCCUACGGGAGGCAGCAGUGGGGAAUAUUGGACAAUGGGCGAAAGCCUGAUCCAGCCAUGCCGCGUGUGUGAAGAAGGUCUUCGGAUUGUAAAGCACUUUAAGUUGGGAGGAAGGGCAGUAAGCGAAUACCUUGCUGUUUUGACGUUACCGACAGAAUAAGCACCGGCUAACUCUGUGCCAGCAGCCGCGGUAAUACAGAGGGUGCAAGCGUUAAUCGGAAUUACUGGGCGUAAAGCGCGCGUAGGUGGUUUGUUAAGUUGAAUGUGAAAAGCCCCGGGCUCAACCUUGGGAACUGCAU